UAGCGCGCGUUUGAACACAGCCGAAUUGGGGGCAGCGGCGGAGGUGCGCGCUGCCCUUAAAAGGAGGCGGGCCGUACCACCGCGGCGCCUGCGGGGGGGUCCCGGCGAGCUCGGGCACCUCGAGGGGAGCCCAGCGCCGCGCACAUCGCCCCCGAAGUGCGGGCGAACUGGGAGCCGGGACCCCGCAGCGGGCGGUGCGGACGCACCCCUUGGUCUCUGGUGACCCGACAGUGCCCCGGGGCGGCGGGCAUCGCCGCUCCCUGGGCUCCAGGGAGGUGCGGCUCGCCCGGCUGCCCCCGGUGCCCGGAUGUCCGUCAGGCUCGGCGCGAGCCGAGGCUCCGGGGGGCGGAGGCGGUGCUGAGGACACAGAGCUGAGGACGCGGCUGCCGAGAGCGCAGAGUCUGCGGGGCAGUAUCGCCGACGGCUGCGGCCGACGCUGAGAGCGGCGCGGGCGAGAGAGCCUGCGGGGCGAGCGCGCAGAUGGAUUUGGGACGCCAGGCAGUGUGAGCCGAGCCAUGGCAGCCCAUUCCAGGUGAGGCUUGCGCAGGGGGCGUCUGGGACCCGGGAGUGGCCGCGGAGCCCGGGGCAAGGGCGGCGCGGGUGGGAGUGCCGGGGGGGGGGGGCGGGGACCGCAGGAAGCCAGCGGCUGGAUCACUGCUAUCUCAUCCCUGAGUGUCGGGUAGAAAAGUGUGUGAACCGAGUGCAAAGGGACCGCCCGGAAAGUUAAGGUUAAAGAUUCCGCUUCUGGCCCGAAGAACUGUUAUUUUCGGAAAGUGAAGUUGGUUUCUCUCCUGCCGGAGCCUGGAUUUUCACUGAGGUGCCUGUGCACAAUCCUCCGGCUCUACUCGUUGCUGGUUUGGCGUCUUCCAAAGAAAUUUGGAAGCGCACUUAAUGGAAACGAGGAUUCUCCCACGAGAGAGUGGUGGAGCCUGGUGAGUAAUAUAGUUUUUUUUUUUUUUUUUUUUUCCUGCUAGAAUGUACGAUUCCACAUAAAACGGCACAGUCAGAGUGAAUCUGCUGAGUAGGCAAAGGCCGGAAUGCGCUGGGUUGGUGAAGGGGAGCCUGGCUAAUGACCCGCAGUUGCUGUCAGGGGAGUGCCCUGUACUGCAAGGACCGAGUCUUGCCUUCUCCCGGGUUUGAAGGUUUUGAAAGGAGCCUUAAAACUUGGCCGUACACCGGUGCCCAAGAUUGAGGCUGUUGGGUGUCAUCGCGCUUCGGUCUCUACAGCUGUUGGUUACGGAAAACAGGACCCGUCGAACCUUUUCAAAACUUAUGCCAGAAGGCAGUGUGAUUGCACAAGUUUACAAUUAUGGAAAUGUUCUUUAGCCUUAAUACUUGAUUUAGGAUAGUGAUUUGGUAACAUAUCUGGACGCUGAGCUGAGGUAAUUUUAGUAAUUUUAGGUCUAAAGAUCAUGGAGAACAGUAGAUUUGUAAACGUUAGAGACUGAGUAGAUAGAACUUGAAUUUUUCUAAGAGAUAAAACUUCCUAGAAGGAACUUCUCUAAACAGAAAACCUUCUAAGUGUGUCUUACUUUAAAAACAAGUUUAAUCCUCUCAACUUGGCUUAGUUGUGUCUUCAUCUUAUUGAGUGUUGGAAGGAAGGGGUUCCUAACGGGACAGAGGAGUAGGGGAACAGAAGUUGCACCUCAAACUUCUGCUAAAUCUUAACUAAAAAGCAACCGUUAGCUUUUAGCACAAACAGAACCUGUAGAUUUUCAUAUUACAGUGACUGCAGAUGUCUUCAAUCUCUAACGUUUCCCAUUUGCUUGAAAUUAAGGAACUGUUUGUCGUUCAUGGCUAGUAAUUAAAAUAUGUUAUAGCUGGAUAUGGUUGCCCAUGCCUUUAAUCCCAGCACUUGCCUUUAAUCCCAGCACUCAGAAGGCAGAGGCAGGAGGAUCUCUGAGUUCUGGGGAAAGCCUUGCUCACCUUUUAAUCCCAGCAUUCAGAAGGCAGAGGCAGGGCGAUCUCUGUGAGUUCUGGGGAAAGCCUGGUCUACAAGGAGAGUUCCAGGACAGCCAGAGCUGUUGUUUGUUACACAGAGAAACAGUCUCAACACCACC
rnacentral:lncRNA from 1 species